CAUUCGAAUAAAAUUUCACAGAAGUAAUUUAGGCAUAAUCCAUCUUCAGUUGGCAUGUAAUGUCUACCCUAAACUAAUGCGGUAGUACACCACAUCUUCCUUAAGCAUGGACUAUCUUAUAUUUACCUAGUGAUCAUGAAGAACAGUUGUACGAACAUCAUACUUAAAAUCACAGAAAUUAAAUAUGAUUCAAAAGAAGAUAUCCAUUAGAAACAAUAAGUUCAUACAACUCCAAGAAUAUAAAAUAAAAUAUAAAACCCUCAUCCCUUUGUUAGGGCUGCAUCCAGCCCUAGUGAGGAGAUCAGCCUUCCAUGGAGUCGUGGGCGACAGCAGCAGUGAUGUAGAAGGCCUUCAUCACGACUGGGUUCUCCCUCCUUUCUUCCGCCGGCUUCCUCUCCCUCUUGAACUUUAUUAUUUCUUUUCUUUAGGAAAUCAUUCCCAAGAUACCCAAACUACUAUCUCUCCCUUUUAUUUCUUCUUCUUCCCGUGGGAUUUUGCUUGAGAGAGAUCCUGGAACCGGACCCCCCAAGCUUGCCUUCAUCUUCACGCAUUGAUUCCCUUUUAUAGCCUUCACCUGGGUGGGAGGAUAAGGUUGAUUGAGCUGAUCUGCCGUUGGGAAGAUGAGCUGAGAUUUCUUCAACGUGGAGAUGCGGCUGGUAGUUGAUCCGGAAGUUGUGUUGCUUGAUCUUCGGUUGCAGGGGAUGGCAAGGACGUGGAGCAAGAUGCAAGAGAUGCUGGGAUGAAUCCAUGGAUAAGGAUCAACUCAGGAGCUUGGAACAUUGUGGAUGUAGUGGAAUUAACCGACGCUUCUUCACGUGGAACGGCUGGGACACGGAACAGGGGAUGAAGCCGAAAGAUUCAGAGAAAAGGAUAAGGUUGAAUCGCGGAAGAAAAGGGAUAAUAAUGAGUUGUAUAAGCGGCUGGGAACGGUUCUGAAACAGGGGAGCUUGGUCUGUGGACGUGACGUGGAAGGAAUCCGUUGCGGGUUGGCUUGAUUUGGCUGGGAGGAAGACGGGACGGCUGGCGGAUGUUUGGGAUGAAGUUUAGCCGGAAGAUAAGAUCUAGACUCUGGUUUGAGGUUGAUUCAAAAGAAGAUAUCCAUUAAGAAACAAUAAGUUCAUACAACUCCAAGAAUAUAAAAUAAAAUAUAAAACCCGUGUCUCUUUGUUAGGGCUGCAUCCAGCCCUAGAGAGGAGAUCAGCCUUCCAUGGAGUCGUGGGCGACAGCAGCAGCGAUGUAGAAGGCCUUCAUCACGACUGGGUUCUCCUCUUUUCUCCCGUCGGCUUCCUCUCCCUCUUGAACUUUAUUAUUUCUUUUCUUUAGGAAAUCAUUCCCAAGAUACCCAAACUACUAUCUCUCCCUUUUAUUUCUUCUUCUUCCCGUGGGAUUUUGCUUGAGAGAGAUCCUGGAACCGGACCCCCCAAGCUUGCCUUCAUCUUCACGCAUUGAUUCCCUUUUAUAGCCUUCACCUGGGUGGGAGGAUAAGGUUGAUUGAGCUGAUCUGCCGUUGGGAAGAUGAGCUGAGAUUUCUUCAACGUGGAGGAGAUCCGUGAUAACGUUGAAUCCUGGAUAGCCGUGGGAUAAGGAUAAAGAGCAAACGCGGAGAUGCACGGGAGAAACGGACGGCCAUGCGGAAUGUGCGAAAUGCUGGGAGGAGAUGUUAAUGUUUGGAUGCCAUGAAAUCUCGGGAAGAUAAAGCCAAAUCGCAGAUGAUUCGGGAUGCUUACUGGCUGGAAACAGGGGAUGGUGAAUCGCAAGAGGAUGAAGAUAAGAUGAGCUAGGAGCAGGGGAUUGUUCACAGUUGAAGAUGCCGAUAGGAAGAGGAUGAGGAUGCUGAGAGUUCGGAGAAGGAAAUGAUGGGCUGGAUGCGAGUUUAUCCCGUAAAUGCUAGAGAUCAAGCUCCCUUGCUCUGUUCUAUUUCCGUGAAAUCUGGGAAGAUAGAUCGGAAGCUAUGCCAUGGGAGAUUGGCUCUGUUUUGAAACUAAAACAAGGGAGGUGAUCCAUGGGAUUCGGCAGCUCGGGCGUUGGAUUGAGAGGAUCUCGGCUGGGAGAUAAUCCAGAUGAGGAUGAGAGUUGGGAAUCCAGUUGGGAUAAGCUGGGAUGGAAUCGUGAGAUGAGUAGAGGCUUUGAACGCGGAUGGGAUGAAGGCUGAUGGAUUCGGCUGGGAGCUGGAUAUGAAGUGAUCUCAAAGGGGUUAUGGCUCUGNNN
rnacentral:lncRNA from 1 species